rfam:Triticum urartu cultivar G1812 contig196516, whole genome shotgun sequence.
AGCGGGGUAGAGGAAUUGGUCAAAUCAUCAAGCUCAUGACCUGAAGACUGUAGGUUCGAAUCUUGUCCCCGCCU